rnacentral:rRNA from 1 species
UACGUAGGGGGCAAGCGUUGUCCGGAAUCAUUGGGCGUAAAGAGCGUGUAGGCGGUUCGGUAAGUCGGCUGUGAAAGUCCAGGGCUCAACCCUGGGAUGCCGGUCGAUACUGGCGGACUAGAGUUCGGAAGAGGCGAGUGGAAUUCCCGGUGUAGCGGUGAAAUGCGCAGAUAUCGGGAGGAACACCUAUGGCGAAGGCAGCUCGCUGGGACGUUACUGACGCUGAGACGCGAAAGCGUGGGGAGCAAACAGG